rnacentral:lncRNA from 1 species
AUGCCUGGACCUAGAGGGUCAAGAGGUACAACGGGCCCAUCUGGAUACCCAGGCCAUCCAGGCUUGCCUGGUAUUCCAGGUUACCCUGGUUUACCAGGUGAACAGGUAGGUAAUAACUUCUGAAGCUUUUAGUGAAAUAAUAAUUUAUACAACUGUUUGAAAUGUUCCUUUUGUUCAUUUGUUACCAAGUUUUUCAAAAGAGUUACUUGAUUAAAUGCUGAUGUUAGUAUUUUCUGAUCAUGCUGAAGUGUGUAUAUUCUUUAUCAAUUAGGGAAAUCCAGGGAUUGGAGUGGAUGGACAAAAGGGGGAGCCGGUAAGAAAAUAAAUAAUAUUAAACUUAUUAUUGCUGUAGAGUU